ACUCAACAUUAACAUUUUAAAAUGAGUAAAUCGUCACUACUAAAGCAUGCUGCCUUGCGCAGAAACUUGAACAGUGAGUUAGCUCAAAACUUGUCUUUACGAGUUU
rnacentral:sRNA from 1 species